rnacentral:lncRNA from 1 species
UAAAAAUUUUACUUGAAGAGGCACAUGACUGGAAGCUUUCCACUCCAUGCAAGCCAAUACCACAGAACUGGAGGAAAUAUUCCAUGAAGCUCAUGAAGGGAAAUUAAUACUCCCAGCCACUGCAUUGUAUUGAUUCACUUAGAAUACAGUUUGCACUGAAAUCAGUUCUCUUUGGCCGGCCAACACAUAAUGGACCUCAGAGACUAAGCCGAUCAGAGAUGCUCAGUAUC